GAUGAACGCUAGCGGCAGGCUUAAUACAUGCAAGUCGAGGGGUAGCAAGAUUGUAGCAAUACAAUUGUUGACGACCGGCAAACGGGUGCGGAACACGUACACAACCUUCCUACAAGUGGGGAAUAGCCCAGAGAAACUGGGAUUAAUACCCCGUAACAUCGCGAUGUGGCAUCACAUUGCUAUUAUAGCUUCGGCGCUUGUUGAUGGGUGUGCGGCUGAUUAGAUAGUUGGCGGGGUAACGACCCACCAAGUCUACGAUCAGUAGCUGAUGUGAGAGCAUGAUCAGCCACACGGGCACUGAGACACGGGCCCGACUCCUACGGGAGGCAGCAGUAAGGAAUAUUGGACAAUGGACGCAAGUCUGAUCCAGCCAUGCCGCGUGAAGGAUUAAGGUCCUCUGGAUUGUAAACUUCUUUUAUAAGGGACGAAAAAAGGUCUUUCUAGAUCGUCUGACGGUACCUUAUGAAUAAGCACCGGCUAACUACGUGCCAGCCGCCGCAGUAACAC
rnacentral:rRNA from 1 species